rnacentral:rRNA from 1 species
UACGUAGGGGGCUAGCGUUGUCCGGAUUUAUUGGGCGUAAAGAGUGUGUAGGCGGCCAGGUAGGUCUGCUGUGAAAACUCGAGGCUCAACCUCGAGACGUCGGCGGAAACCAUCUGGCUAGAGUCCGGAAGAGGAGAGUGGAAUUCCUGGUGUAGCGGUGAAAUGCGUAGAGAUCCCCAAGAACACCAGUUGCGAAGGCGGUCGUCUGGACACAUAUUGACGCUGAGGCUCGAAAGCAUGGGGAGCAAACAGG